CGAACCGUGCGAACGUUGUUCGGAAUCACUGGGCUUAAAGGGCGCGUAGGCGGGCCCCCUUGUCCGGGGUGAAAGCUUUCGGCUUAACCGGAAAAGUGCCCCGGAAACGGGGGGCCUGGAGGGAGGUAGGGGCAGCCGGAACUUCCGGUGGAGCGGUGAAAUGCGUUGAUAUCGGAAGGAACGCCGGUGGCGAAAGCGGGCUGCUGGACCUCUACUGACGCUGAGGCGCGAAAGCCAGGGGAGCGAACGGGAUUAGAUACCCCGGUAGUCCUGGCCCUAAACGAUGGGGUACUGGGUAGGGGACUGGACAUGGGUUCCCUGCCGCAGCGAAAGUGGUAAGUACCCCGCCUGGGGAGUAUGGUCGCAAGGCUG
rnacentral:rRNA from 1 species